GUGAAUUGUGUACAAUUUUUUGUAACCAUGAUGAAAGCAUUUCUCUUUACACUUAUUAAUCAGUUACCAGUUACUACUACUCUACAAAAAACGGGUUGGAGCCGAAAUCCAAUAUAUAACGCAGUUAGGCGCCGCCCGUUUUUGAAAACCCUAGUUGCGCACCUGACUGUGCCCUCUGAUCCGGCAACUCUCUCCGCCGCACCGAUGGAAGUUCCUUCCGAGCCACCGCCAGCAACCGCCACCGGCGAAACCAUUAGCAAGAAUGCACUGAAGCGGGAACUCAAGAACAAGCAGAAGGAAGAAGAACGGAAACGCAAGGAGGAGGAAAAAGCCAAAAAGGCUGCUGAAAUGCAAAGUGCUAAGGAUAACAAAUCUGCACCUGUUGAUGAAGAUGAUAUGGACCCAACGCAAUACUUUGAGAAUAGGAUAAAGUAUCUUGCAGGUCAGAAAGGAGAAGGGAAUAACCCGUAUCCGCACAAGUUCUUUGUCACUAUGUCUGUUGCUGAAUACAUUAAGGAGUAUGAAGGUUUAAGCAAUGGGCAACACCUUGAGGACGUCUCUGUGUCUUUGGCUGGCCGAAUCAUGCACAAGCGCGCAUCUGGUGCAAAGCUUGUCUUUUAUGAUCUGCACGGUGGUGGUUUCAAGGUUCAGGUUAUGGCCGAUGCAAGUAAAUCGGACUUGAAUGAAGCUGAGUUUUCCAAGUUCCAUUCUAAUGUGAAGCGUGGUGACAUUGUUGGCAUCACUGGGUUUCCAGGCAAAAGCAAGAAGGGAGAGCUUAGUAUAUUCCCUAAGACUUUUGUGGUACUGUCUCACUGUCUGCAUAUGAUGCCGAGGCAAAAAUCCGCAGCUGCUGCUGAUAAUGCAAAUUUGAAGAAAAAUCUGUGGGUACCAGGAAAUACCAGGAAUCCUGAAACCUACAUUUUGAAAGAUCAGGAAACAAGAUACCGAUUACGCCAUUUGGAUUUGAUGCUUAAUCCAGAGGUUCGAGAAAUAUUCAAGACUAGGUCCAAAAUCAUUUCUUACAUUAGGAGGUUCCUUGAUGACCUUGAUUUCUUGGAGGUUGAAACACCUAUGAUGAACAUGAUUGCUGGUGGAGCUGCAGCCCGUCCAUUUGUAACACAUCACAAUGAUCUUAAUAUGAGGUUAUUCAUGAGAAUUGCUCCAGAACUCUAUCUUAAGGAGUUGGUUGUUGGUGGGCUGGACCGUGUUUAUGAAAUUGGUAAACAAUUUAGGAAUGAGGGCAUUGAUUUGACUCAUAAUCCUGAGUUUACUACCUGUGAGUUCUAUAUGGCAUAUAUGGACUACAACGACUUAAUGGAACUAACUGAGCAAUUGUUGAGUGGUAUGGUUAAGGAGCUUACAAAAGGCAGCUAUAAAAUCAAGUAUCAUGCAGAUGGGAUUGAUAAGGAUCCUAUUGAAAUCGAUUUUACUCCACCUUUCAGAAGGAUUGACAUGAUUGAAGAUUUAGAGAAGAUGGCAGGCCUCAAUAUUCCCAAAGACUUGUCAAGUGAGGAAGCUAACCAAUAUCUGAGGGAUGCUUGCUUGAAGCAUGAGAUCAAAUGCCCUCCUCCCGAAACAACUGCUCGUUUGUUGGAUAAACUUGUGGGGCACUUUUUGGAAGAAACGUGUGUGAAUCCUACAUUCAUCAUAAACCAUCCUGAGAUAAUGAGUCCAUUGGCAAAGUGGCACAGAUCAAAACCAGGCCAGACUGAACGUUUUGAAUUGUUUGUUAAUAAACAUGAAGUUUGCAAUGCAUAUACGGAAUUGAACGACCCUGUGGUGCAACGACAGAGAUUUGCUGAACAACUAAAGGACCGGCAAUCAGGUGAUGAUGAGGCAAUGGCCUUAGAUGAAACAUUUUGUACUGCUUUGGAGUAUGGUUUGCCACCAACAGCUGGUUGGGGUUUGGGUAUUGAUAGGUUGACCAUGAUAUUCACUGAUUCACAGAAUAUUAAGGAGGUUCUACUUUUCCCUGCCAUGAAGCCUCAAGAUUGAGCCUUCUUUUCAAGCUUUCUUUAAAUCUAUCCCAGUAAAAUCAUUGUUUACAGGAACAUGAGAAAUUCAAGAUGAUUAAGAUGGGAACUAAAUUUUGAUUUUUGUAUUUGAUUAUAAAACUUGCCAUUUACGGUUCAUGCAUCGUCAUCUACCCUUUCUCAUCUGUUCUUCAAGGGCUGUUUUGGGAAGGGUGCUUUUGUUUUUCUUGGUGAUUGGAUUAACUGAUAUGUCAUAUACUAGCUGUUUUAUUGGUCGAAAGCUUAUUUAUAAUAGAUCUGAGGUAACAUUAAGAA